CAAGCGUCUGGGGUAAGGAGAGGUGUGGUAGUCGCUGCCAUCAGCCCCACUGAUGAGUCUAGGCAAAUGAUAUUCCGAGACGAAACGCAAA
rnacentral:hammerhead_ribozyme from 17 species